ensembl:lncRNA
UUUUUUUUUUUUUUUGGUCUGCACUCCUGGCAUGUGGAAGCUCCCGACCCAGGGAUCGAAUCCAGCUACACCACAGCUGUGGCUAUGCCACAGCAGGAACUCCUAUAGACACUUUUAUGUAUAGCGUUCAGUUCUUAUUUGUGAGACAGGCCUUGUUAUCCCCUUACACAGAUUUAAACAAAUGGUCCACUUUUGUAACUUCCUCAAGAUCAUACAUUAUUUGGCAGAGACAGUAUCUGUUACCAUACUGUUGGGACUGGUGAAUAAAAAACACUGAACUUGGAUUAGGUCACUUUCUCAGGUAGCCUGGCUAACUAUCCCAGGAUAAAGGCUAAGAGUUAGCAGGAAAAAUAGCCUCUAGCUACUAGCAUAUGUAAAGAUGUCUCUUCUUUCUCCUUUAAUAUAUUAGGAUUUUUUGUACAUAGCAAUCUAGAAAUUCUGAAGAUUUUUGCUCCUCAGUCCUAGAAUGGAUAAUAAAAUUAUGUCUUGAUUUAUGUGUACAGUCAUAGUCCAUACCAAUCAAAUCAGUUCACUAAGGGUUUGUUGUUUUAAUGAAGCCUUUCUAUAUACUGGUGAUGCUGGGAAAAAAAUAAAAGAUCUUCAAGAUUUCAUCAUUGGUUGAGAAGUCUUACAUAAACACAUGAAGUUAAUUUGACAACAUAUGACUAAGUCCUAGAGUAACUGGUUAACAGUAUGUCCUGGUGGUUCUUCAGAAUCAGCAUUUAUGUAAUUAAACUUUUAAUAUCUUCCACUGUCUUUGAUGGCGUCAUCCCUGGUCACCCCCGUUUCCCAAGUUAGAAAUGCAGGAGUCCUCUGCCACCUCUUCCUUUUCCUCUAUAGUCAACCAGUCACAAGAUCCUAUAGAAUCUGCCUCCUUUUUAAUCCAUAAAUCUUUUCAGUUUUUUUUCAUGUUAGGCCUGUUGCUGCUUCCUUAGCUCAUUUCUUGGCUAAGGAAUGAUGAUAAUCUCUUUAGUAAAUUAAACUCCACUGCCUCUAGUGGAGUUCCUGUUGUGGCACAACGGAAAGGAAUCCAACUGGCAUCCUUGAGGAUACAAUUUUGAUCUCUGGCCUUGCUCAGUGGGUUAAGGAUCUGGCAUUGGCGUGGGCUGUGGUAUAGGUCACAUACACACCUCAGCUGUAGGCAGGCAGCUGUAGCUCCGAUUUGACCCCUAGCUUGAGAACUUCCAUAUGCCAUGGUUCAGCUCUAAAAAGCAAAAAAAAAAAACAAAAAAAAAAACAACAAAAAAACUACCUCUAGCUUUCUCUCCUUUAGUCCAUAUUCUAUCUUUUGCUGAAGUUAUUUCCCAAACAUAAAUCUAGUUAUGUCAUGACCUUGAUUAAAAACCUUAAGGGGUGCCUUUUCAUUUUGGCUUGUAUAAAAUAUUCAGUCUGGCACAUGAGCCUUUUAUCUUUACUCUUUUACUUCAACUUGGACCUCCAGCCUCAUCUCUCAUUACUCUCUCAAGACCCUUCUAUAUUGUGUUGAAGCUCAUCCAACUGCUUCCUCUUCAAGAUUGUAUUGUACUUCUUCAGGUCUUGCCUUUACACAAGUGCUAUCUUGUAUAUAAUGCCUCUUGCCUUGCCUUUUCAUCGCCCCCACAACCUGAAAGAACCUGGUACAAGUCCUGAUUCAGGUGUAACUUUCGAUCAUAUCAUCCUAAUCCUCCUCAAGCAGAAUUAAUUUGCUCCAUCUUAGUUAAUGGCACGUACAUCUAUCUUUUAUCAUCAUAUAAGGUGAUUAUCUCUACUUUUAGUGUCUAUCUACCCUCAAGGUUAUGAAGUGCUUGCCUUGUUUGUGUUUUCAAAUCUAGCCCAAGCCAUAGUAGAUGCACAUCAAAGGUAUAUUGUGGUCAUUCAGAAUAUAGGCUUGGCAGAGGCAAGCCUGGGUUGAAAUAAGGGCUUUGCAACCAAAAGGAAUGGUAUGGAGAAAUGUGUGGAGAAAGGGAAAGCAUUGAGAAGGAAGGAACAUGGGCAGUGGCAAGUCUGGAUAUUUUUCACAGCCUGGUUGGCCACUGUUAGGGUAAGGUAAUACCUCAAAAUCUACUGAAAACCCAACUGGGAGGCAUAGAAAUUCGAUAAGCCAAUAUUUUUACUAAAUACCUUGAUAUAUAUGUGGCUUUUUGCUAUACAAGUACUAGGAGUAUGAAGAUGAGGAAGAAAAGGACUCUGCCUUUGAAAACAUUCAAAGUGAACAGGGAAGAUAGACAUGUAAGUAAAUAAAUAUAAUAUCAUCUAUGAAUAUACAUUAAUAAAUUAAUUGUGAGGAAUAGUAACCACUUACGAUGUGAAUCUCUCCAGGCAGAAAUCCUCCAGUUUAAAGGGAUGCCCUAGCAAAGUUUUAAAGUAUGGAUUGGAAUUCUACAGAUGGAUAAGUUGGUAAGAGCUUGAUAGAUUGAGAACAGCAUGUACUAAGGCAUGAGGAACAAAAGCAGCAAAAGUAGGAAAACCCUUGAUUGUAAGAUUUCAUGCAUAUGCUUAUAUAUUUUAGGAAGCCUUACAAAGCAGCCUUCACUACGAUACCGUAGAUAACACCUAACUUAAAUAUUUAAAUACGCUCUCUUGAAACAAUCCUAUUACAUCAAUUUAUUUGUUAUCCUUUCCCUUUGAAGUAUAAAAUGCAUAGGAGCAUAAACUUUGGAGGUCAAACUUUGAGUUCAAAUUCUGAAAUACUUAGUAUCUCUAAAAAUCACUUUACCCUUUUAUAAAAGGUGGUUAUUAACUCUACCUACUUCACAGGGUUUUUAGGAAGAUUCAGAGAGAAUGUGUGCCAAGUUGUUGGCACAGUGCCUGGUCCAUAAGAAAGUCUUGGUAGGACACCAUAAAUGCUAACUGUAUUGUGGCACCUGAUAAGCCUUUAAAAAAGUCAUUUAUUUAAGAAGUUAUUUAUUGAUUGCUUACUAUUUAUUAGGCGCUGGAAUUACAAAGACAAGUAAGGCAGAACCUCUGUUCUUGAAGAAUUUAGAAUUUAGUGAGUACUGUGCAUUGCAAUGUACUACAUUUUGAGAAUCAACAAUUAACAACCUAGAAAAUGCUUUGGCAGGGGUGGGGGCAGUAUAAGCAAAAAAUAACCGAGAGAAGAGGCACCCAAAUCUCUUUUGGGGCAUUAUGAAAGUAUUUAUUAGGAAGACUGACUGGAUGAAGAACAGUUUGCUGGUUUGGUGUUGGAGGAUAGAGAGGAGGGAAGCUUUUUUGGGGGAAAAAGGAAGAACAUAUCCAAGAGGAAGGCUAAGGUAACUUAACUCAAUCAGAGGAAGACAAAUAAUAGAAAAACCUCUAAAAGAAAAAAGGGGAAUCCUUGUGGCUCAGCAGUAAUGAACCUGACUAGAAUCCAUGAGGACGUGUGUUUGACCCCUGGUCUCGCUAAGUGGGUUAAGGAUUCAGCAUUGGUGGCCAUGAGCUGUGGUGUAGGUUGCAGACUGGCUUGUAUCCUGUGUUGCUGUGGCUGUGGUAUUGGCCAGUGGCUACAGCUCCCAUCGACCCCUAGCAUGGGAACCUCCAUAUGCUGUGGGUGCAGCCCU